GUGCCAGCCGCCGCGGUAAGACGUAGGAGGCGAGCGUUAUCCGGAAUCACUGGGCGUAAAGCGCAUGUAGGCGGCUGUACAAGUCGUGUGUUAAAGCCCCUGGCUCAACUGGGGGAGGUCAUGCGAGACUGUGCGGCUGGAGGGCAGGAGAGGCACGUGGAACUCCCGGUGUAGCGGUGGAAUGCGUAGAGAUCGGGAAGAACAUCAGUGGCGAAGGCGACGUGCUGGGCUGCACCUGACGCUGAGAUGCGAAAGUGUGGGGAGCAAACGGGAUUAGAUACCCCGGUAGUCC
rnacentral:rRNA from 1 species